UAUUUAAAAAAAAAAAAAAAAAAGGGAAAGAAAGUGAAAUCGCGUGCGUUUCCCCUCCCUCAACUCUUCUUCUUCUCUUCUUCUCUACGUGCCCUAGUCGCCGCCCACCGUCUCCUCAUCGAUGUCGUUCGAGUUCGUGCGCCACUUGUUGUCGUUGCCCAUUAAUCAAGCCGAGGUGUUCACCGUGGGUCUGCGUCGUUUAACCAUUUGUGAAGCCAUCAUCGUGCACGUCUUUCUACAUCCAACGACUACUCAAACAAAACUCGUCCCGAGCCGUCGUCGUUCCGUCGGAGCUGAAGCCGGAGUGUCGUCCAUCCGUGCCUGUGUCCAUUUGUGAAGCUCCGUUGUAGCCGCCAUCGCCAGUCGUUUGCGAAGCAGUGGGCCGCGAAAUCAUCGGUCACGCGACUCUCCGUUCGAUCUCGCUUGCCCCCAUCUGUAGAGUCCGUCUCUCCGUCGCAAGCGUUUUGUCUCUAUCUCCAUUGAAGCUGAAACUGACCGAGCCACAUCAUCCACCAUUCGCAAGGCCGCCGACCGUUCACGCUAUCUCACCGUCGCGAACCACUUUGUUCGUGAAGUUGUCAGUCGUUCGCGAAGUGGUGCGUCGUGAAGCUGUGUCUGCCUCCGUUCGCAAAUCUGAAGUCGCGCGCGUUCGUGUCUUCCAAAUCGCUCGUGUAACGCAGCUUCACUUCUCCAACCGGGAUGGGUCACAUCCAAAUCUUUCUCUAGCGUGGGUCGAUUUCACCUGUGCUAAGUUGCAAUUUCUGCCAGACCACAAGAACUAUUGGGUUUUAGUGUAAGUUCGUAAUUGUGGAUUUGAUGUAUUCCGCAUGAUUGAUUCGUUGAGAUGAAAUGUUAAAUUUAAACGUUUGGUUAAUAUUGUUCUUUGAAGGUGUUAAUUGAGGCGGAGUUAGACCUCAUGAAAUCGCUACAAGUUUGUUGGGUAAUUGACAAAAAUAGGCCAAAAAUGGGGUAGAUAAAGAAUUUUAGGAUUGAUUUGUAAAAAAGUUGACAUUUAGGACAAAUUGGAGGUAAAAUGACGAAAAUACCCUCAUUUCAUGUUCAACAUUUCUAUUUAAGAACCUGCGAGAUGUCUACCAGAUGUUUGCGAGAUAAAAUAAUAAAAAUAAUAAAUUGUUUUAAUUGUUUUAUUUUUUUAAAAAAUCCUAAUAUGAAUUGUGUUAUAUGUAUAUAUAUUUGCAUCUUAAAUGUAUCAAGUUGAUUUAUGGUUGAUUUAAGGUUAUUUUAGAGAUGUUUCAAAGGAUGUUAGCAAUUUAUUAUUAUUAUUAUUUUAUCUCGCAAACAUCUGGUAGACAUCUCGUAGACAUCUUGCAAACAUCUCGCAGACAUCUCGCAUGUUCUUAAAUUGAAAUGUUUAAUCUGAAAUAAGGGUAUUUUCGUCAUUUCACCUUCAAUUUGUCCUAAAUGUCAACUUUUUUACAAUCAAUCCUAAAAGUCUUUAUCUACUCCAUUUUUAGCCUAUUUUUGUCAAUUCCCCAAGUUUGUUUGGAGUUAAAUUCUCUAUUUAAAUUAGGAUUGGUGCGUUGGAUUUUGUUGAUCAAGAAACUUAGAAAAUCUUAAGGCAAAGGUAACAAGGAUGGCAAACCGACGAGGGGCAGGAAGGAAGUGUGAUUGCCAUAGGGAGUAUGUUAUUUUUUAUUCCGCUUUAUGUUUUUUAUGUUUAAAACAUUGUGAUGGAAUUGAGCUUGCAAAUGUUCUAUAUUUCAUUUUGUAUCAAUCAAGGUCUUUUGUAAAAAAUUAACGAGUUUGGUCGUUACACAUAUACUAGAAAACAACUAAUGUUUUAAUUACAUAUAUUACAUAUAAUCAUCAUAAUUAUUUCUCA